GGCGAACGCUGGCGGCGUGCUUAACACAUGCAAGUCGAACGGAAAGGCCCUGCUUUUGUGGGGUGCUCGAGUGGCGAACGGGUGAGUAACACGUGAGUAACCUGCCCUUGACUUUGGGAUAACUUCAGGAAACUGGGGCUAAUACCGGAUAGGAGCUCCUGCUGCAUGGUGGGGGUUGGAAAGUUUCGGCGGUUGGGGAUGGACUCGCGGCUUAUCAGCUUGUUGGUGGGGUAGUGGCUUACCAAGGCUUUGACGGGUAGCCGGCCUGAGAGGGUGACCGGCCACAUUGGGACUGAGAUACGGCCCAGACUCCUACGGGAGGCAGCAGUGGGGAAUAUUGCACAAUGGGCGGAAGCCUGAUGCAGCAACGCCGCGUGCGGGAUGACGGCCUUCGGGUUGUAAACCGCUUUCGCCUGUGACGAAGCGUGAGUGACGGUAAUGGGUAAAGAAGCACCGGCUAACUACGUGCCAGCAGCCGCGGUGAUACGUAGGGUGCGAGCGUUGUCCGGAUUUAUUGGGCGUAAAGGGCUCGUAGGUGGUUGAUCGCGUCGGAAGUGUAAUCUUGGGGCUUAACCCUGAGCGUGCUUUCGAUACGGGUUGACUUGAGGAAGGUAGGGGAGAAUGGAAUUCCUGGUGGAGCGGUGGAAUGCGCAGAUAUCAGGAGGAACACCAGUGGCGAAGGCGGUUCUCUGGGCCUUUCCUGACGCUGAGGAGCGAAAGCGUGGGGAGCGAACAGGCUUAGAUACCCUGGUAGUCCACGCUGUAAACGGUGGGUACUAGGUGUGGGGUCCAUUCCACGGGUUCCGUGCCGUAGCUAACGCUUUAAGUACCCCGCCUGGGGAGUACGGCCGCAAGGCUAAAACUCAAAGGAAUUGACGGGGCCCCGCACAAGCGGCGGAGCAUGCGGAUUAAUUCGAUGCAACGCGUAGAACCUUACCUGGGUUUGACAUGGAUCGGGAGUGCUCAGAGAUGGGUGUGCCUCUUUUGGGGUCGGUUCACAGGUGGUGCAUGGCUGUCGUCAGCUCGUGUCGUGAGAUGUUGGGUUAAGUCCCGCAACGAGCGCAACCCUUGUUCACUGUUGCCAGCACGUUAUGGUGGGGACUCAGUGGAGACCGCCGGGGUCAACUCGGAGGAAGGUGGGGAUGACGUCAAGUCAUCAUGCCCCUUAUGUCCAGGGCUUCACGCAUGCUACAAUGGCUGGUACAGAGAGUGGCGAGCCUGUGAGGGUGAGCGAAUCUCGGAAAGCCGGUCUCAGUUCGGAUUGGGGUCUGCAACUCGACCUCAUGAAGUCGGAGUCGCUAGUAAUCGCAGAUCAGCAACGCUGCGGUGAAUACGUUCCCGGG
rnacentral:rRNA from 1 species